UCGUGUCUACACUCCACAAUUUAAUAAUGCUCAUACUGAUUACUGUUUUCGUUUUCGCAUUCGUAAUUUGUGCUUGACUUAAUUAACGUACAGGUAGUGCUUCCUUCACUCUAGCUAGAAGGGAUAAUGGCUCUGAUCGGUGAUCUUUUACCUGAAUUUAAACCAUCCACAUGGUCUACAGAAAACUAUGCAAGCAAAAAGUUUGUAAGAAUUCCCUUGGAUAUUGAAGCUGUUGAGUGUACAGCAAUUAAAAAUGAGUUUAUUCGACAUUACGGUGUUAAAUACAAAAUUGUAGCAAUUGAAAGGAUCCAAGCACCUUUUUUAUACAUGCGAUGUCAAUUACACAGAACUCAUUAUAAAAUGAAGAAUGGCCCAUACAUUGAUGUAUCCGAGAGUUGGGAAUUUGCUUUUGUACAGGAAUCUAAAGUUGAUGAAUUUAUCCAAUACAACGGCGAUGAAAGAAGAGUACCCAGCCUGUGUUAUUUGUAUCUGCCAUCAGCCAAUAUUCCUACAUGCGCUAUUGCGAAAAAAGUAUUGCAUCCAUGUUUACUUCGAGACUCAAAUAGUUACCCAGACUACAUUAUACACUUUGAAAAGACAAAGCCAGCAGAUGAAAUCGCCAAUUCCUUGUCUCGUCUAACAUUGAGAAUGUAAUUGAAACAGGGAUUAGGUAUAUGUGGAAUUAUUCGCGUAUUGUUAUAGUUGACCUGAUACCUUUAGUUUUUUGAUUGUAUUUCUAAAUCAAGAAUACUCAAAUCAUGACUUUGUUUUUCUACUGUUAGUUUGUAUCAUUUUAUAGUAUUUUAUUCAUAGAUAAUAAAUAUUUUUGCCUACUUA